UACGUAGGAGGCGAGCGUUGUCCGGAUUUACUGGGCGUAAAGAGCGCGCAGGCGGUCGUACAAGUCGCGUGUGAAAGCCCCCGGCUCAACUGGGGAGGGUCACGCGAUACUGUUCGACUCGAAGGCAGGAGAGGGAAGCGGAAUUCCCGGUGUAGUGGUGAAAUGCGUAGAUAUCGGGAGGAACACCAGUGGCGAAGGCGGCUACCUGGACCGGUUCUGACGCUGAGGCGCGAAAGCGUGGGUAGCAAACAGG
rnacentral:rRNA from 1 species